rnacentral:rRNA from 1 species
AUUGAACGCUGGCGGCAUGCCUUACACAUGCAAGUCGAACGGUAACAGGUCUUCGGAUGCUGACGAGUGGCGAACGGGUGAGUAAUACAUCGGAACGUGCCCGAGAGUGGGGAUAACGAGGCGAAAGCUUUGCUAAUACCGCAUACGAUCUCAGGAUGAAAGCAGGGGACCGCAAGGCCUUGCGCGGACGGAGCGGCCGAUGGCAGAUUAGGUAGUUGGUGGGAUAAAAGCUUACCAAGCCGACGAUCUGUAGCUGGUCUGAGAGGACGACCAGCCACACUGGGACUGAGACACGGCCCAGACUCCUACGGGAGGCAGCAGUGGGGAAUUUUGGACAAUGGGCGCAAGCCUGAUCCAGCCAUGCCGCGUGCAGGAUGAAGGCCUUCGGGUUGUAAACUGCUUUUGUACGGAACGAAAAGACUCUUUCUAAUAAAGAGGGUCCAUGACGGUACCGUAAGAAUAAGCACCGGCUAACUACGUGCCAGCCGCCGCAGUAACAC